rnacentral:misc_RNA from 1 species
UAUAAUCGACACACAUUGUUUAACAGAUACUGCCACAUUCCAUCUAUGCAGCAUUUGAUUGCUGGAGGGCAACAUUUCCAUCUGGAUUCACUUUCUCGUGAGUUCCCAAGCAAGUAUUUCUAUGAAUUUGGCAUAUUCUUAUUUGCUUGGAAAUAACAGAUUCCUAAAAUUGUAACAAAUAAAGUUUAUAGCAAAGGAAUUAAUGUGUUGUUAAAUUUGCUUUCAUGUCUUUCAUUUCAAUGUGAAUGUGACAUUUUCUACCCUUUAGGAUGAGAAAAUGCAUUCCUAUGUACAUGAGAAUGUGA